CUUUGGAGCCGGGACUACUCCCUACAGUAGAUAUAUUAGGUUUUUUUCUUAUAUACAUAAACCUAUAAUAAAGUUGAAUUUAUAAACUAGGAACAGCAGGAGUUUAGCAAUUAAUAAUUAGGACAAUUAUAGCAAUACAUUAUUAUAAAAAUAUGUGAAGGUGGCCUCUCUUUCAAAAUAUCACUUUGUGAUGAUGUGAGAUGAUUCAAUGCCUAUUUGAUAAGAUGAGGUACAGUAAAUGACAUAGGCAUUGUGGAUACCUUGAUAAUCAAUCUGGUCAUUAAUAUGGCUACUAAGUGACUAACAGGGCUUUGGUGAUUCGAGGCAGACACUUUACCACUGGAGCUACAUCCCAGCACUCUCACUUGGUAAAUUGAAAAGGCCAACAUCUUUCUUGAGACCAGGACAGACACUUCGCCAAUUUAACCAACUCCAUUGAUGAACUGAGAAUCUAAAGCAUGGGCCAGAUAAUGGAUGUGAUUCAUAUCUUACAAGAACACCCGUUGAUUUGCCUAGGAUCCAAUACUGGCCUCUUGUGAAUAACAUUCUCCAGCCUCUCAUCAGGGUAUGUUGUAAUGUGCAAGGUGGUAUCCCACAUGACAACACAAAUGUUAUCCCUCAUUCCUAGCACUUAUUCUCUGGGUCAAUAAAACCUUUUGGGAGUGAUGCAGUAUCCA